UGGGGAAUUUUCCGCAGUGGGCGAAAGCCUGACGGAGCAAUGCCGCGUGGAGGUGGAAGGCCUACGGGUCGUCAACUUCUUUUCUCGGAGAAGAAACAAUGACGGUAUCUGAGGAAUAAGCAUCGGCUAACUCUGUGCCAG
rnacentral:rRNA from 1 species